CUGACAGCAGCAUCUCCGCUCUGUCGCUCUGCGCCUGUCAACGGUGACUCUAAACUGCAUUCACAGUCUGCGCGCGCUGCUGAGCCACAACGAAAUACGCUCGGACAGAGUUUGUUGGCCUACUUCAAGAAAAAAGUAACAACUUCGCAAACAAUUUGGUGAAGUUGCUGGACCUCGGUGUUUACCCAGAAGAAUUUGCAUCAAUGAUUUUUGAAGCUUGGGGUGUGAGCGGAGGAGAGGAAACAAACGUAUGGACACCGGACAUCAGAGGGAACAAUUAGGGAGAAUCCGUGGAGUUGAAGUGAACGACGGGAAACCAGUUCUAGACCUGAACACCUCUGAGGUGUGAUGUGACUGAAGUGAGUCCGGUGUCUAUAUACUCAAGCAUGGAGCACGAGAUGAGGAUGGGUCUGUCUGUGUGGGCCAUCGUGGCAAUCGUUUGCAACUCUGUGGUGGGUGUCCUCAUCCUUGUCCUCUUCGUCAUCCUCUACAAGGCUUGCAAGGUGCCCUCACAUCCAGAGAAAAUUCCAGUUUUCACAGCAGAGCCGGAGCAGAAGAAGGCUGAACAGAAGUAUCUGCUGACUGCAGCGUGAUCAUGGAUAUACGGAUAUACGGAUACUUUUCAUUCAUUUAUUCCAAAGGAGGUCAAAGGUCGAGUUACAACGUGCUCAAAAAACAGCUUUACUGUGAACUUUGAGUGAUCCUUUACACUUUCUUCCUCCGUCAUUUUUUCCACUUACCGUUUAUUACCAUCAGCCCCUCAUCUGUGCCAUUUGUUGGAGCUCAGAAUGAGCUAACUGAAUUAAGAGGUAUGGCAAGACCCACAACAACAAGCAGCAGCUUCAAUCCUCUUAUCUCCUCUGUGCGUCUCUGGGACUGUCCAUCUGUCAGUGUGUUUGCUUUGCUCUACAGAAGCAGACCAUGAUCUCCUCCUCUUCUCCUCCACUAUUCCUCCUCCUUCCAUCUGAGAAAACUGAUCGGAUGUGGAGGAGGAACAGGCAGCAAGCAGUCAAUUGUAAAGAGAGAGUUUUUGGAGAUAGGGUCAGCUGAGAGGCCAAAUAACUUGUUAGAGGUAAAGGGGAAAUGUAGCCAUGUAGCUUACAGGCAGCUUCAGCACUAAUGAUGGCACUGAAAAAGCUGCAAAACAGGCAAAAGGUAGACACUAAAAGCCUGCAAGAGUCAGGAGGAGGAAAAUGUAUGAGUCGAGAGUACAGGACACAGGGUAAGAAAGAAUGAUACAAAAGGCAGAUCUUUGUUGGGGGAGGGGGUAGAGUGCAGGGUUGGAAACAGAAAGGAUGCUGAUGUUAGCAAAAAGGGAGCCUGAGGCCUCUGACAGCAUCCUUAUUUCAUCAACAAGUCACUGCCUCCACCUUCCCGACUCCCAUGGGAUUAAGGCAACAGUAAAAAUGUUACUGGUGUCCCUGUGUGCCUCGCUUUUAUUUGAAUGAGGCUGAAUGAGAUAUUUAUAGGCAGCCUUCACCAGAAAUGACUCAGCGAGAUGUAACAUCUCAAAGUUACAUGUGAAUAUUGAGUUGAUCAUGGUUCUUCAAAAAACGUGCUGACAGAAGGUUAUAAAUACGGUCUACAGGGCUCUGAAGAGGGAUGAGGUUUACCACUGUGGCACGUAAUCAUCACAAUAAUAAGAGAUGCAUACUUGUAUAUAUGUUUUUUAAGGGAAGUUACAAUUUGUACUGAUGAAAGGGCUUUUUAAUGAAAUUUGCUACGUCUGAUGUUUGAGUGAAUGUGUUGUAAUCUGACCUCAAGUAUGGAUUCACUUUAUUAAAGUAAGCUGAUUUAUUUUUCAGUGCAGCACUUUCUGUUCUGUGUAAUUUAUGGAAUAUUUCUGGUAUGUUAUGAUGAAUAGUAACCUGCACUGAAAUGACUGGUUGUUAAAAUAACUCGUCACUUUAAAUAAAAUCAACUGAAGAUG